UAUGAUGAGAAGGACUCUUUGUCAGAACACGUCCGUGGUUAUGCCAGACUUGUUUGUAAGUAUGACGAAUACGGCAACAGAGUCGAAGAGGCAUUUUUUGACCGGAGUGGAAACCUCACGCGCAUUCCUGACGGGUUCUCGAACAUCAAGAUAAAGUAUGAUUCGUAUGGCAAUCGUGUGGAGGACUCGUUUUUAGAUGAGCAGGGAGAGCCGGCCAGAUUGAACGGGACCUACUCAAAGUUCCGUAUGAAGUAUGAUGGCCAGGGUCGCUGGAUCGAAGCGGCAUGUCUUGAUGGACUCGAUCGUCGGGCUCGCUGCCCGAAAGGCUAUGCCCGAUGGGUAGCGAAAUAUGGAGCUGACGAUAAGGUCGUCAAGAAGAACUUCUAUGAUACCGAUGAUC
rnacentral:misc_RNA from 1 species